GCGGGUUUGCUGAUUUGGGGAUGAGCCUUUGGAGCUCUGACCCGGAGAAACCCGCGGACCGGGGUUCAAAUCCCCGUGCCCCCACCA
rnacentral:tRNA from 1 species